AAUGUGCUUUAGUGCAUAGAUUAUUAAGACAAGGCUGGAUAAAUACAGAGAAUGCUACUGUGUGACAACUCGGAUGGAGGAGAUCCUAUGUAAUGCACAGCAACUUUUGCCCCAGUCCCUUUUGAAUUUAGGUGAGAGUUCAGUCCUCAUCAGUUCCUGAUUCACAAAUCCUUCUAGCUUCUUGUAUUUUUCAGAUGCUUAGCAGCUGGGAUGAACUGAAACCCUGAUUCCUCUUCUGUGCACAGAAAACAUAUAGAAAAGCCACGAGGCUCGAAGCAGAAGAUGAAGGAAAGGGGAUGAUCAAAUAGGACAUGCAUCUUCUUAAGCUGCCCAAAUAUAAGACAAUUUUCUGUUUGAACUCAAAGGCACAUAAAAGAAGCUGUGAAGUGCAGAAGGAAUAGACUGCAGCAGUGGCAGAUUGAGGCUCUUCUCGUUAAAUUAAAUCUGGCUGAAGAUUUAAUGUGUUAGAGUGGACAGCAGUGAUAAUGGGUACUGUUUCUUUAGUGUGCCUGUGUAUAAAUUAACUACCUUUAAGUGCUAUUUGGGCAAUAAAGCUUCAGCAGUUUUGCUUCUAGUUCCA
rnacentral:lncRNA from 1 species